rnacentral:rRNA from 1 species
GUGCCAGCAGCCGCGGUAGUACGUAGGGCGCAAGCGUUGUCCGGAUUUAUUGGGCGUAAAGAGCUCGUAGGCGGUUUGUCGCGUCUUCCGUGAAAACUGGGGGCUUAACUUCCAGCUUGCGGUGGAUACGGGCUGACUGGAGUGCGGCAGGGGAGACUGGAAUUCCUGGUGUAGCGGUGAAAUGCGCAGAUAUCAGGAGGAACACCGGUGGCGAAGGCGGGUCUCUGGGCCGUUACUGACGCUGAGGAGCGAAAGCGUGGGGAGCGAACAGGAUUAGAUACCCUGGUAGUCC